UACGGGGGGGGCAAGCGUUGUUCGGAAUUACUGGGCGUAAAGGGCUCGUAGGCUGCCAACUAAGUCAGACGUGAAAUCCCUCGGCUUAACCGGGGAACUGCGUCUGAUACUGGAUGGCUUGAGAUCGGGAGAGGGAUGCGGAAUUCCAGGUGUAGCGGUGAAAUGCGUAGAUAUCUGGAGGAACACCGGUGGCGAAGGCGACUUUCUGGCCUGUUCUUGACGCUGAGGCGCGAAAGCUAGGGGAGCAAACGGG
rnacentral:rRNA from 1 species